UCGGCUUAGGCUUCGCAUGAACACUUCACGUUUAAGUAAACAGAAUAUAUUCAAAUACUUUCUUUGAAAGAAAGAAAAAUUGUUGAUAAAAUUGAAAUUGUUUUUAAAUUUUCGAAGUUUUAACCAAAGAUCAAUGUGGAACUACUAUACCGUAAUCACAUUCGAGACGGCUAUAAAGAUGACCCCAUAUUGCCAGGGGUGGCCCACGCUGUGCUGGUUAUUUUUAAAGGCGUAUGCAAUGUUUAAGUAUUUGAUUUUGGACCGCAAUAGAAUAUUUUGGAUGUUAUGCGCUUUUUUCGUUUUAUCAACAUUGCUUAUCAAAUGGAUUAUAGGAUAUAAACAUAAGAAAAAGCUCCGAAAGGAAAGUUUCGUCAAACAGGAAUUCAUUCAGAGACGCUUCGAGGAGAGCAUGGAUGAGCUAUUAGCGAUCCAAUUGAGGGACAGAAAAACGGAGCACUUGGAUUGCUUGUCGAAUGAACAUAUUUUAAUGGAAACUUCCUCAGAAUUGCAGCGGUUUCCAACCAAAUCACUGGGGGGCGGUUCGACUAUAACAUUGAAAGAAUCCCUAACUGAGCAAUCCGAGGGCUUGCCGAGUGAACAAAUUAUAACUAAGCAACACGAUGCCACGUCAGGUGAAUCUUUCGAGGAUGUUCCCGGUGUACAAAGCAAAUUGACGCGGAACGGUCUACGUGUAACAUUCAAAGAAGACCUGGCUGAGCCAUGUGAGGGGCUAACGAACGAAAACUGUAUAUCGGAAAACUGCUCGGAAAUUCCAGAUGCACUAGCCAAAUCCGUCGGGAACGUCCCGCAUGUAACAUUGAAGGAAGCCUCAACCGACUCGUCCUCUUUGCGAUCCUUUAACUCUGUCAGCCAGUCCACGCAAACGGGCAAGUUAAAGUCGUGUCUAAAAUUUCAUAAUCCACAUUUGUUCGAGUCUAACUCUGGCCCCAAAAAGUAUCCGAAAUGGAGGAUUUAAUUGCCAUAGUGGGCCAGUUGACAUAGGUUUAAUUUAGAUUUUGAGUUCGUUUUUGUUCAUCUAAUUGUUGAAAUUUUAAGUUUUAGGGUUUGAAUAUAAAUAAACAAGAGAAUUUCUCUCAGGCAUGUUAA